rnacentral:rRNA from 1 species
UUCGCCCUUAGAGUUUGAUCCUGGCUCAGGACGAACGCUGGCGGCGUGCCUAACACAUGCAAGUCGAACGAGUGAGAGAGAGCUUGCUUUCUCGAGCGAGUGGCGAACGGGUGAGUAACGCGUGAGGAACCUGCCUCAAAGAGGGGGACAACAGUUGGAAACGACUGCUAAUACCGCAUAAGCCCACAGGUCGGCAUCGACCAGUGGGAAAAGGAGCAAUCCGCUUUGAGAUGGCCUCGCGUCCGAUUAGCUAGUUGGUGAGGUAAUGGCCCACCAAGGCGACGAUCGGUAGCCGGACUGAGAGGUUGAACAGCCACAUUGGGACUGAGACACGGCCCAGACUCCUACGGGAGGCAGCAGUGGGGAAUAUUGCACAAUGGGGGAAACCCUGAUGCAGCGACGCCGCGUGGAGGAAGAAGGUCUUCGGAUUGUAAACUCCUGUUGUUGAGGAAGAUAAUGACGGUACUCAACAAGGAAGUGACGGCUAACUACGUGCCAGCAGCCGCGGUAAAACGUAGGUCACAAGCGUUGUCCGGAAUUACUGGGUGUAAAGGGAGCGCAGGCGGGAAGACAAGUUGGAAGUGAAAUCUAUGGGCUCAACCCAUAAACUGCUUUCAAAACUGUUUUUCUUGAGUAGUGCAGAGGUAGGCGGAAUUCCCGGUGUAGCGGUGGAAUGCGUAGAUAUCGGGAGGAACACCAGUGGCGAAGGCGGCCUACUGGGCACCAACUGACGCUGAGGCUCGAAAGUGUGGGUAGCAAACCAGGAUUAGAUACCCUGGUAGUCCACACCGUAAACGAUGAUUACUAGGUGUUAGAGGAUUGACCCCUUCAGUGCCGCAGUUAACACAAUAAGUAAUCCACGUGGGGGAGUACGACCGCAAGGUUGAAACUCAAAGGAAUUGACGGGGGCCCGCACAAGCAGUGGAGUAUGUGGUUUAAUUCGACGCAACGCGAAGAACCUUACCAAGUCUUGACAUCCUGCGACGAUGCUGGAAACAGUAUUUUCCUUCGGGACGCAGAGACAGGUGGUGCAUGGUUGUCGUCAGCUCGUGUCGUGAGAUGUUGGGUUAAGUCCCGCAACGAGCGCAACCCUUACUGUCAGUUACUACGCAAGAGGACUCUGGCAGGACUGCCGUUGACAAAACGGAGGAAGGUGGGGAUGACGUCAAAUCAUCAUGCCCUUUAUGACUUGGGCUACACACGUACUACAAUGGCGUUAAACAAAGAGAAGCAAGACCGCGAGGUGGAGCAAAACUCAGAAACAACGUCCCAGUUCGGACUGCAGGCUGCAACUCGCCUGCACGAAGUCGGAAUUGCUAGUAAUCGUGGAUCAGCAUGCCACGGUGAAUACGUUCCCGGGCCUUGCACUCACCGCCCGUCA